AUGUUUUUGAUAAACAGGCGAAUAUAAUUAUUUUGCCUAGUUACUUAAAUAUAUAUUUAUAUAUAUACUAUUCAUAAAAUAAUUUAUACAAAUUAAAUUACUAAUUUAAUCAUUAUAUUAUAACUAAUAUUAUUAAAAUUAUUUUUUUUUUAAAAUCAAUAUAUAUAAUUAAUUUUACUAUAAUUAAAAAUUUAUUAAUAAAUUAUUAAAUACUCAUUAAAUUCUUUUAAAUUUUAAAAUUAAUCUUUUUAAUUUUAAUUUAAAUUAUUAUAUAAAUUUAAUUUAUAGAUUAUCCCAUAAAUUAUUUAUAUUUUCUAAAAUAAACUUUUUUAUUUAAAUUUACUUUAAAAAAUAUAUAAAUUAAAUUUAAUUCAAAAAUAACUAGAUAUCAUUAAAAUUGAAUAACAUCUAAUCUCUAAAUAUAUAUUUAUAAUUUUUAUUCAACAAAAAAAAAUUUUAUAUAUUUAACUCUUUUAAUUUCGAGAUAUUUAAUUUAUUAAAAAUUUUUAAAUUAACCCUGAUACAAAAGGUACAAAAUUUUACUUUAAUUUAUAAAAUUUUAAAAUUUCAUUUACAUUACUUAUAUAUAUAAAUAUAUUUAUUAUUUCUUAAAAUAUUACUUUAACAUAAAAUUUUUAUAAAAACUUUUUAUAAUAUACUAAUUAAAACAAUAAAAAAAUUUUAUUUAAUUAAUUA
rnacentral:rRNA from 1 species